ACCUGGGUGGCUGAGUUGAUUAAAGUGUCUGACUUGAUUUCAGCCCAGGUCAUGAUCUCAGAGUUCGUGAGUUCGAGCCCCACAUCAGGCU
rnacentral:tRNA from 1 species